GAGCUUUGAAUAACAGAGAGAGGGGGAGAAAUAAAAGGAAUAAGCACCACGAGCCCUCAGUCUUCCAGCAGCAAAGGGAAGAAACAGGAAUAACCAUGCCUGAGCCAGUCCCUGCAGAUAAACCAGAGGGGGAGGCCCCAGAGGAGCCAUCUGAGGAGGCCGCACCCCAU